UAUGAACUUGAUUAGCAAGGCUGCCAAGGCAAAAUUUGCAUGGAAAAGGUGAAACUUACCUGGGCCUUGUAAGUUGCUAAUGUUGUUUAGUUUAGAACUUGCAUGAGCAGUGAACUAUCCAUUAAUAAGUUCAAUUAAUUGGUGGUCAUCAUAUAUGAUUACACAUGUUCAAACUUUUGUUGUCUGUAACAAUACAAAAAUUUUAUUGAUUUUCAUUGUGCAGAAUCCCAACCUUUUUUUUUUUUUUUUGCCAGGGAAUCCCCCUUUUGGAAGCAUCUAAUUCUAGAUAUCAGGCAGCAAGUUUGAGGAUUGAAGAGCAAUAUAUUCAAGCCUUCAGUAACAUAGCCAAGCAGGGCACAACAAUGUUGCUUCCUAGCUCUGCAUCUAAUCCUGCUAACAUGAUGGCUCAAGCUCUCACUAUGUACAAAAGCUUGUUGGGUGAUGUUUCCAAUGAGAAAAUUGUUGGAAGCACACCCACUUCAAUAGGACAAAUUGAGGGGAAUGAUUACUAUGGCAAGGCUAAGAAUGAGAACUCAAGUGAUAGCCCCAACAUGGGAGCCCAGCAGCUCCCACCACGACCGAUAAGAAUGAAAAUGAUAGAAACAAACCUAUAUUUACACUUCAGAGCUCGAAGAGAAAGGAAUAAUCUAACAAUAUUAAACCCACCACCCUCAAUAAUUAAACCAUCUAUAGUUUUUUCUCUCUCCUGUUCUUUUGAGCUGUGGACUUGAGCCAAGAAUUCAGUACCCCGCGGGUAGCAAAAUUAAGUUGAACAUGAGAUCACUUCUUACAGUUGUUGUGGCAUUGAUGAUCGGACAUAGAUACGACUUCAUUCAAUUUGUCGCUUGAUGUCAAGACAGUUAGAAACCUUUCUAGCUAAUUGGCAUGUGAACAGGAAGGAAUAAAAUUUGUUUUGCCUCCCCCAUGUACUCGAAUUUCUUGUGUAUAAGCGGAAGCUUCAUUGA